GACGAACGCUGGCGGCGUGCUUAACACAUGCAAGUCGAACGGAAAGGCCCUGCUUGCAGGGUACUCGAGUGGCGAACGGGUGAGUAACACGUGGGUGAUCUGCCCUGCACUUCGGGAUAAGCCUGGGAAACUGGGUCUAAUACCGGAUAGGAGCCAUUUUUAGUGUGAUGGUUGGAAAGUUUUUUCGGUGUAGGAUGAGCUCGCGGCCUAUCAGCUUGUUGGUGGGGUAAUGGCCUACCAAGGCGGCGACGGGUAGCCGGCCUGAGAGGGUGGACGGCCACAUUGGGACUGAGAUACGGCCCAGACUCCCACGGGAGGCAGCAGUGGGGAAUAUUGCACAAUGGGCGCAAGCCUGAUGCAGCGACGCCGCGUGGGGGAUGACGGCCUUCGGGUUGUAAACUCAUUUCGCUAGGGACGAAGCUUUUUGUGACGGUACCUAGAUAAGAAGCACCGGCUAACUACGUG
rnacentral:rRNA from 1 species